AAGCCGAGCCCUCGGCGGCGGUGGAAGCGCCGGUACCGCCCCCUUCCUCUGGCCUCCCGCCCGUCUCCCUCAACAUCUGGCCGCCGUCGCAGCGGACGCGGGAUGCCGUGAUCCAGCGCCUGAUCGAUACCCUCUCCUCUUCGUCCGUCCUGACCAAACGCUACGGCGUCGUCCCCGUCGACGAGGCCUCCGCCACGGCCCGCCUCAUCGAGCAGGAGGCCUUCGACUUCGCCGACUCCGACGGCGUCCGCGCCUCCGCCUCCAUUGACGACGGGCUGGAGGUCCUCCAGAUCUACUCCAAGGAGAUCAGCAAGCGCAUGAUCGAGUCCGUCAAGUCGAGGGCCUCACCUGUGUCAUCCACACCCGCUGUUGAGGAGGCAGCUACGGCGCCCGCUGAAUCGGCCUCCAUGACUUCUGGUGCUGGUGAAGAAACCUCAGCC
rnacentral:lncRNA from 1 species